rnacentral:lncRNA from 1 species
UCAAAGAAAUUAAUUAAAGACUUGAACCCUUAGUUCAUUUGAUCCAAAAUCUUAGGCACCCAACAAUUGGAGCCCAAUGAAUCUAAUUCAUUUAGAUUAUUAGUAGGUAAUUUAGUUUAAAUUAAUCUUAAGAAAUUCAAAUGUAAAGAGAAAAUUGGAUCUAAUCAUGUGCGAGCAAGAUUAUCCUGAACCCAAUAAGAUUUUUCUAAAUCCAAAUGAGACUUUAUAAGCCUAAUUGCUUAUUCCAGAUCUAGUUCCUUUACUGUGUGAUCUCAUAGGUUCAAUUCUAUCUGGUAGUAAAAUAUACAAUGAUCUUUAUCAUUAUAUUAUUGAAACUCUUUUCAAUGGAUUGGAAUAAUUUCACUCUAACUCAUUAAGGAUUGUCAAUCCUGAGCAACCCUAGU